rnacentral:rRNA from 1 species
AUACGGAAGGUCCGGGCGUUAUCCGGAUUUAUUGGGUUUAAAGGGAGCGCAGGCGGAGAUGCAAGCGUGACGUCAAAUUUCGGGGCUCAACCCCGUCUCGCGUCGCGAACUGCGUCCCUUGGUUGCGGGAAGGGGAGGCGGAACUCGUGGUGUAGCGGUGAAAUGCAUAGAUAUCACGAAGAACUCCGAUCGCGAAGGCAGCCUUCCGGCCCGUCAACGACGCUCAGGCUCGAAGGGGCGGGUAUCAAACAGGAUUAGAUACCCUGGUAGUCCGCACAGUAAACGAUGGACACCCGCGGUUUGGCCUGUAUGGCUGAGCCGCCAAGCGAAAGCGUUAAGUGUCCCACCUGGGGAGUACGCCGGCAACGGUGAAACUCAAAGGAAUUGACGGGG